rnacentral:tRNA from 1 species
CAAAUUAAUUAAUAGUUAAGGAUUUCAUUUACACUGAAAUUGAUGUCGUGCAAUUCGAUAUAGUUUGA